rnacentral:rRNA from 1 species
GCUCAGGACGAACGCUGGCGGCGUGCUUAACACAUGCAAGUCGAGCGGUAAGGCCCCUUCGGGGGUACACGAGCGGCGAACGGGUGAGUAACACGUGAGCAACCUACCCUCAACUUUGGGAUAAGCCUCGGAAACGGGGUCUAAUACCGGAUAAUACUUUGCUCCUCAUGGGGUGGGGUUGAAAGUUCUGGCGGUUGGGGAUGGGCUCGCGGCCUAUCAGCUUGUUGGUGGGGUAAUGGCCUACCAAGGCGUCGACGGGUAGCCGGCCUGAGAGGGCGACCGGCCACACUGGGACUGAGACACGGCCCAGACUCCUACGGGAGGCAGCAGUGGGGAAUAUUGCGCAAUGGACGAAAGUCUGACGCAGCAACGCCGCGUGAGGGAUGACGGCCUUCGGGUUGUAAACCUCUUUCAGCAGGGACGAAGCGAGAGUGACGGUACCUGCAGAAGAAGGACCGGCCAACUACGUGCCAGCAGCCGCGGUAAUACGUAGGGUCCGAGCGUUGUCCGGAAUUAUUGGGCGUAAAGGGCUCGUAGGCGGUUCGUCACGUCGGGAGUGAAAACUCGGGGCUUAACCCCGAGCCUGCUUCCGAUACGGGCAGACUAGAGGUAGCA